CCAGACUCCUACGGGAGGCAGCAGUGGGGAAUAUUGGGCAAUGGGCGCAAGCCUGACCCAGCAACGCCGCGUGAAGGAAGAAGGCUUUCGGGUUGUAAACUUCUUCUGACAGGGAAGAGUAGAAGACGGUACCUGUCGAAUAAGCCACGGCUAACUACGUGCCAGCAGCCGCGGUAAUACGUAGGUGGCAAGCGUUGUCCGGAUUUACUGGGUGUAAAGGGCGUGUAGGUGGGCGCUUAAGUCAGGUGUGAAAACUCCGGGCUCAACCUGGAGACUGCACUUGAAACUGGGUGUCUUGAGGGCAGGAGAGGAAAGUGGAAUUCCUAGUGUAGCGGUGAAAUGCGUAGAUAUUAGGAGGAACACCAGUGGCGAAGGCGACUUUCUGGACUGUACCUGACGCUGAGGCGCGAAAGCGUGGGGAGCAAACAGGAUUAGAUACCCGCGUAC
rnacentral:rRNA from 1 species